rnacentral:rRNA from 1 species
ACCCGCUGAACUUAAGCAUAUCAAUAAGCGGAGGAAAAGAAACCAACAGGGAUUGCCCCAGUAACGGCGAGUGAAGCGGCAAGAGCUCAAAUUUGAAAGCUGGCUCCUUCGGGGUCCGCAUUGUAAUUUGCAGAGGAUGCUUCGGGAGCGGUCCCCAUCUAAGUGCCCUGGAACGGGACGUCAUAGAGGGUGAGAAUCCCGUAUGGGAUGGGGUGUCCGCGCCCGUGUGAAGCUCCUUCGACGAGUCGAGUUGUUUGGGAAUGCAGCUCUAAAUGGGUGGUAAAUUUCAUCUAAAGCUAAAUAUUGGCCGGAGACCGAUAGCGCACAAGUAGAGUGAUCGAAAGAUGAAAAGCACUUUUGAAAAGAGAGUUAAAAAGCACGUGAAAUUGUUGAAAGGGAAGCGCUUGCGACCAGACUCGCUCGCGGGGUUCAGCCGGCAUUCGUGCCGGUGUAUUUCCCCGCGGGCGGGCCAGCGUCGGUUUGGGCGGUCGGUCAAAGGCCCUCGGAAGGUAACGCCCCUAGGGGCGUCUUAUAGCCGAGGGUGCAAUGCGACCUGCCUAGACCGAGGAACGCGCUUCNNCUCGGACGCUGGCANAANNNNNNGUAANCNNCCCGUCUGAAACACGACCAAGAG